GCACGCGCAAGAAAACAAGGCAGGGAUGGACGGAGAUGAUGUGAGAGUGAGGAAGGCGCGAGUGGGAGAGCCUUUCUGCUGCUGGCACUCACGGAACCUACUACUGUUGAGCUACGAUUCACAGGCCUCAACCCAGAAAGAAGAACAAAAGCUGCAAACGGAAAGGUGACAUCAAAACCAACAGGACGACUGAUGCAAAACACAACAGUGAACCUGUGUGUCUCCAUUCUCCUCCUUCAUGAACUAGUGGAACUUUUAAAAUGAAACCCUUUGAUGAUUUCUAGAGAGGUUCAGGACUGAAACCAACUCGGAACUCAUCCAUGUUGGUUUUGUUUGUUCACUAAGUUUUAAACCUGCCCAGAUGUUUAAGAUGUACUGUCAGGGUUCCAAUAAAGUUUUGAAAAAUAUGUAACUUCAAUAUUUGACAUUGCUGGAAGAAAACGACAGAGAUUUAGAAUUUUGACUGCAAGUUCUACAUGAAAAGCUGGUGAAACAUUGUUUUUAUGACUUUGACAUGCAGUUUGCUUGGAAACUUUGAUAUUUGGGCACUUUGGUUUUAGUAAAGAUUAUUGAAUUCAUUGUAUUCAUUGUCAUAUUACCAUGAUUGUAAAUGCAUCAGUUAUGUUGUUAGAUCAGAGUAGAUCAUGUGACUAAUGAUUUAUUUUUAUUGUGACAGGCCUAGGGACAAAAUGUAAAAAGAAAUAUAUUGAAACUGAUGAAAACAACAGCAUGUGGAAUAAAACGGUCCAGCAGGAUUUGAUCUGAUUUGACUCUCAGAGGUCACAUGAAAAUGAA